UGGAAUGCCUCUCUACCCAAUGACACUCACU
rnacentral:piRNA from 1 species